rnacentral:rRNA from 1 species
GGAGGGGGAUAACGGUUGGAAACGGCCGCUAAUACCCCAUAUGCCGAGAGGUGAAAUGAAUUUCGCCUGGGGAUGGGCCCGCGUCUGAUUAGCUAGUUGGUGGGGUAAGAGCCUACCAAGGCGACGAUCAGUAGCAGGUCUGAGAGGAUGAUCAGCCACACUGGGACUGAGACACGGCCCAGACUCCUACGGGAGGCAGCAGUGGGGAAUUUUCCACAAUGGGCGAAAGCCUGACGGAGCAACGCCGCGUGAGGGAUGAAGGCCUCUGGGCUGUAAACCUCUUUUCUCAAGGAAGAAGACCUGACGGUACUUGAGGAAUAAGCCACGGCUAAUUCCGUGCCAGCAGCCGCGGUAAUACGGGAGUGGCAAGCGUUAUCCGGAAUUAUUGGGCGUAAAGCGUCCGCAGGUGGCCCUGUAAGUCUGUCGUUAAAGCGUGGAGCUUAACUCCAUUUAAGCGACGGAAACUACAGGGCUAGAGUGUGGUAGGGGCAGAGGGAAUUCCCGGUGUAGCGGUGAAAUGCGUAGAUAUCGGGAAGAACACCAGUGGCGAAGGCGCUCUGCUGGGCCAUCACUGACACUCAUGGACGAAAGCCAGGGGAGCGAAAGGGAUUAGAUACCCCUGUAGUCCUGGCCGUAAACGAUGAACACUAGGUGUCGGGGGAAUCGACCCCCUCGGUGUCGUAGCCAACGCGUUAAGUGUUCCGCCUGGGGAGUACGCACGCAAGUGUGAAACUCAAAGGAAUUGACGGGGGCCCGCACAAGCGGUGGAGUAUGUGGUUUAAUUCGAUGCAGCGCGAAGAACCUUACCAGGGUUUGACAUCCUGCGAAUCCCUUGGAAACGAGGGAGUGCCUUCGGGAGCGCAGAGACAGGUGGUGCAUGGCUGUCGUCAGCUCGUGUCGUGGGAUGUUGGGUUAAGUCCCGCAACGAGCGCAACCCACGUCGUUAGUUGCCAGCAUUCAGUUGGGCACUCUAGCGAGACUGCCGGUGAUAAACCGGAGGAAGGUGUGGAUGACGUCAAGUCAUCAUGCCCCUUACAUCCUGGGCUACACACGUACUACAAUGCUACUGACAAAGGGCAGCAAGCUCGCGAGAGUUAGCAAAUCCCAUAAACCGUGGCUCAGUUCAGAUCGUAGGCUGCAACUCGCCUACGUGAAGGAGGAAUCGCUAGUAAUCGCAGGUCAGCAUACUGUGGUGAACACGUUCCCGGGCCUUGUACACACCGCCCGUCACACCAUGGAAGUUGGCCACGCCCGAAGUCGUUACUCCAACCCUUGUGGAGGAGGACGCCGAAGGUGAGGCUGAUGACUGGGGUGAAGUCGUAACAAGGUA